GAACUGAAGAGUUUGAUCCUGGCUCAGAUUGAACGCUGGCGGCAUGCCUUACACAUGCAAGUCGAACGGCAGCACGGGUGCUUGCACCUGGUGGCGAGUGGCGAACGGGUGAGUAAUACAUCGGAACAUGUCCUGUAGUGGGGGAUAGCCCGGCGAAAGCCGGAUUAAUACCGCAUACGAUCUACGGAUGAAAGCGGGGGACCUUCGGGCCUCGCGCUAUAGGGUUGGCCGAUGGCUGAUUAGCUAGUUGGUGGGGUAAAGGCCUACCAAGGCGACGAUCAGUAGCUGGUCUGAGAGGACGACCAGCCACACUGGGACUGAGACACGGCCCAGACUCCUACGGGAGGCAGCAGUGGGGAAUUUUGGACAAUGGGCGAAAGCCUGAUCCAGCAAUGCCGCGUGUGUGAAGAAGGCCUUCGGGUUGUAAAGCACUUUUGUCCGGAAAGAAAUCCCUGGCUCUAAUACAGUCGGGGGAUGACGGUACCGGAAGAAUAAGCACCGGCUAACUACGUGCCAGCAGCCGCGGUAAUACGUAGGGUGCGAGCGUUAAUCGGAAUUACUGGGCGUAAAGCGUGCGCAG
rnacentral:rRNA from 1 species